GACGAACGCUGGCGGCGUGCUUAACACAUGCAAGUCGAACGGAAAGGCCUCUUUCGGGGGGUACUCGAGUGGCGAACGGGUGAGUAACACGUGAGUAACCUGCCCUUGACUUUGGGAUAACUUCAGGAAACUGGGGCUAAUACCGGAUAGGAGCUCCUGCUGCAUGGUGGGGGUUGGAAAGUUUCGGCGGUUGGGGAUGGACUCGCGGCUUAUCAGCUUGUUGGUGGGGUAGUGGCUUACCAAGGCUUUGACGGGUAGCCGGCCUGAGAGGGUGACCGGCCACAUUGGGACUGAGAUACGGCCCAGACUCCUACGGGAGGCAGCAGUGGGGAAUAUUGCACAAUGGGUGGAAGCCUGAUGCAGCAACGCCGUGUGCGGGAUGACGGCCUUCGGGUUGUAAACCGAUUUCGCUCAUGACGAAGCUUUGUGUGACGGUAGUGGGUAAAGAAGCACCGGCUAACUACGUG
rnacentral:rRNA from 1 species